rnacentral:rRNA from 1 species
AUUGAACGCUGGCGGCAUGCCUUACACAUGCAAGUCGAACGGUAACGCGGGGCAACCUGGCGACGAGUGGCGAACGGGUGAGUAAUGUAUCGGAACGUGCCCAGUUGUGGGGGAUAACUGCUCGAAAGAGCAGCUAAUACCGCAUACGACCUGAGGGUGAAAGCGGGGGAUCGCAAGACCUCGCGCAAUUGGAGCGGCCGAUAUCAGAUUAGGUAGUUGGUGGGGUAAAGGCCCACCAAGCCAACGACCUGUAGCUGGUCUGAGAGGACGACCAGCCACACUGGGACUGAGACACGGCCCAGACUCCUACGGGAGGCAGCAGUGGGGAAUUUUGGACAAUGGACGCAAGUCUGAUCCAGCCAUGCCGCGUGCGGGAAGAAGGCCUUCGGGUUGUAAACCGCUUUUGUCAGGGAAGAAAAGGGCGACUUUAAUACAGUUGCCUCAUGACGGUACCUGAAGAAUAAGCACCGGCUAACUACGUGCCAGCCGCCGCAGUAAGAC